GAAGCGCUGUUUUCAAAGGGGUGGCUAGUGCUCACUCGCUUCACAAACUAAAACCAGAGCAAUACAGAGAAGAUGGCACGGCCCUUGUGCAAGAAUGACAUGAAAAUUAACAAAGCAUCCUACAUUUUU
rnacentral:snRNA from 1 species